rnacentral:rRNA from 1 species
UGCCAGCCGCCGCGGUAAUACGAAGGGACCUAGCGUAGUUCGGAAUUACUGGGCUUAAAGAGCUCGUAGGUGGUUAGAAAAGUUAGUGGUGAAAUCCCAAGGCUUAACCUUGGAACUGCCACUAAAACUUUUUGACUAGAGUAUGAUAGAGGUAAGCGGAAUUUCUAGUGUAGAGGUGAAAUUCGUAGAUAUUAGAAAGAACACCAAUUGCGAAGGUAGCUUUCUGGAUCAUUACUGACACUGAGGAGCGAAAGCAUGGGUAGCGAAGAGGAUUAGAUA